UCCCGGCGGCCUUAUGCCGACCUGGAUCCUAGCGCCGGUAGCGGUCCGAUUUUCGGGUCGUUACAGAAUGGUAUCAGAGCCCUAGGUUCAUAUGGUCGGACCUAGAGUGUCAGACUCAUAGAUGUUAUAGAAGGUCAAGCACAAUAGGAAUGGUCAUGUCCACUAGGAUAGGAUGUGGAGUCCUGUCUUGUAUGAUGAUGUGAAAUGCCA
rnacentral:lncRNA from 1 species